UACGUAGGGGGCUAGCGUUGUCCGGAAUCAUUGGGCGUAAAGCGCGCGUAGGCGGUCAGGUAAGUCCGGUGUGAAAGUCAAAGGCUCAACCUUUGAAUGCCGCUGGAUACUGCCUGACUUGAGUCCGGAAGGGGCGAGUGGAAUUCCUGGUGUAGCGGUGAAAUGCGCAGAUAUCAGGAGGAACACCAAUGGCGAAGGCAGCUCGCUGGAACGGUGCUGACGCUGAGGCGCGAAAGCGUGGGGAGCGAACAGG
rnacentral:rRNA from 1 species